rnacentral:rRNA from 1 species
CCCAUGACCAAACUUGCUUAGUAACACAUGAUCAACUUACCCUAUGGAGAAAUAUAACCUCGGGAAACUGAGGAUAAUACUUCAUAGUUGAAUAGGCUUGGAAAAGUUUUUCAAUGAAAGGGAUAAGAAAAAUGGUUCUUAUCUGCCAUAGGGUAGGAUCGUGCUUGAUUAUGGUUGUUGGUGAGGUAAAGGCUCACCAAGCCGAUAAUCGAUAGGGGCCGUGAGAGCGGGAGCCCCAAGAUGGGUACUGAGACAGCGACCCAGGCCUUACGAGGCGCAGCAGGUACGAAACCUCCGCAAUACACGAAAGUGUGACGGGGUUACCCAAAGUGUUCUUAUAGAACUGUGGCAGGUGAGUAAUGUCCCCUGCCUAGAAAGGAGAGGGCAAGGCUGGUGCCAGCCGCCGCGGUAAAACCAGCUCUUCAAGUGGUCGGGAUAAUUAUUGGGCUUAAAGUGUCCGUAGCCGGUUUAGUAAGUUCCUGGGUAAAAUCGGUACCCUUAACUAUCUGUAUGGCUAGAAUACUGCUAUACUACAGGGCGGGAGAGGUCUGAGGUACUACAGGGGGUAGGGGUG